rnacentral:rRNA from 1 species
CCUACGGGAGGCAGCAGUGAGGAAUAUUGGUCAAUGGGCGAGAGCCUGAACCAGCCAAGUCGCGUGAGGGAAGACGGUCCUAUGGAUUGUAAACCUCUUUUGCCGGGGAGCAAAAAGCGGUACGCGUACCGCAUCGAGAGUACCCGGAGAAAAAGCAUCGGCUAACUCCGUGCCAGCAGCCGCGGUAAUACGGAGGAUGCGAGCGUUAUCCGGAUUUAUUGGGUUUAAAGGGUGCGCAGGCGGCGAGUUAAGUCAGCGGUAAAAUUUCGGGGCUCAACCCCGACAAGCCGUUGAUACUGGCGUGCUAGAGUGGGCGAGAAGUAUGCGGAAUGCGUGGUGUAGCGGUGAAAUGCAUAGAUAUCACGCAGAACGCCGAUUGCGAAGGCAGCAUACCGGCGCCCAACUGACGCUCAGGCACGAAAGCGUGGGUAUCGAACAGGAUUAGAUACCCGGGUAGUC